rnacentral:lncRNA from 1 species
UGCCGCCUUUGAACUCUCUUCAUCUCCCAAAUCCUCUUUAGCCCUCCCCGAAACCCUAGUUGAUUCCCACCUAUUUCCGGCAUGAUUUCACUGGUAUCCAUGGCAUUCCUGAACAUAGAUGGCUUGUGCUUACUCUCUCUCAUCAUUAAACCUAAGCUACUCGAAGUUUGAAGGACGAUUUCAAUGGAUCCCUUUAGAUCUGUCUCAGAUCUCUAAGAUCUAUGGCCUCUUCGGCCAUUUCCGGCAUGUUCGAGCAAUAUGAGUCUUUUUUAACUCAGGAUCCGACUUUCUUCAAGACAUUCUCAUUCUAGGGUCUUCUCCGUUGUUUUUAAGACGUCUAAGGUUCUAUAACUUGCCUAUUUCUUUUAGAUCUGUGAUGCUUGGCCUUUACUUGAUGUUUUAAGAUUUUCCCCCAAAUUUCCUUUUCCAAAUUGUACAAAUUCAAUUAUUAGGGUUUCUGGAAAAUUUCUUUAAAUGUUUUCUGACUCUUUUGUUCUCUCUUUGUGUGUGUUAUAUACUCGUAUGUUUAUUUCUUAAGCUCGUAUUUGUUCUCUUGUUUUUUUCUGAUUAUGCAAGACUUUUUUCUGUUCUUUGUUCGCAUAUAACUCGGUUUGUUGUUCCUCAUUAUUUGCUAUAUAUGUUUAAGUUUGAGCUAUUUGAUUGUGUUUCACCUUACUGAGUUUUGUUCAUGUUCCUGCUGGCAUGCUUUUACCUACUUUGUUUAAAACUCAUAGCCUGUCUUUCUUUUGAACAUGUUUGUGUAUGUUUGCCUCUCACAAGCCUUCGAAAGGGGCUUCUGAGCCUCUCUCAAUGACCUUGAUUUCUCACCUUUUUGUCUGACUCAAUUUGAAACCCUAAGAUUUGGGGGUUUUCUUUGGAUAAAUGGUAUUAGUGUUUCACUUUGGAACUUAGGCUUUCAGACUCACUAUGAG